rnacentral:rRNA from 1 species
UACGUAGGGUGCGAGCGUUGUCCGGAAUUAUUGGGCGUAAAGGGCUCGUAGGCGGUUAGUCGCGUCUGCUGUGAAAACUCGGGGCUUAACCCCGGGCCUGCAGUGGGUACGGGCAGACUAGAGUGCGGUAGGGGAGACUGGAAUUCCUGGUGUAGCGGUGAAAUGCGUAGAGAUGGGGGAGAACACUCGUGGCGAAGGCGGCCAGCUAGACCAGUUCUGACACUGAGGCGCGACAGCGUGGGGAGCAAACAGG